CAGUCCAACUGCCUUUUCUGCCAACGGUCGGCCGUCUGGUUGGUCUGUAGCGGCCUUAAGAGGACUGAGUUUGGGUCCUUUAAAGAGGACUAUAUGUGAAAACACCCACAGUGAACAAAAGAUGGUGCUCUUUGGUAGAGGGCAAGAAUAAAUCCAAUAGAUAUCAAGGAAAAUCCCAAGGCACUCAUCUUAAGAAAACAAAUGUUAAUGUUAGGAGGUUAAAGGCACAGGAAUGGGAUGAAACUAUUUAAAACAGCAGGUGUGAGCAAAUCAUCAGGUGCACCUGGUGUUUGAAAUAGUUUCACCCCAUUCCUGUGCCUCUAACUCCCUGAAGAAGUUGGUUUUAAACUGAUGAUGCCAGAUGAAUUAAAGGCAUUUUAAAAAACAUUUCUUAAGACGAGUGCCUUGGGCCUUCCCUUGAUGUCUAUUGGGCUAUAUUCUACCUCCAAUUAGCCCCAAUAAUCACAAACUAAAUUAAAUCAAACAUGUCCAAAUAUCCAGUUGUCAGGGUGUCUUUUGUUACAGCACAGCAUUCCCAUGUUUUUAAAAUGCUUUAUUGGAUACCUUUACUGGUGUUUGCAACCAUUAAAUGACUCCAAAGUCCACCAUACAGGGCUUAACACACUGAGUGAUCAGUGAGAGAAGAGUUUUGUGACGAGCUGCUGUUUCAGUAUCAGUCUGAAAUAAUGAAUGUGAGUCCGUAACGUUAUUUCUGUCAAAAUGGAAACAUACUCUGCCACCUGUAUUCCAAGUUGUUCAACCCUCUAUGUCUGUAAGCAAAAACAGCAUUCAGUGUGUAUGUCAAUGAGAAAUGGAAAUCCGGUUACCAACUUAUCUUUUUAAAAAGAACUACUUUCCUAUUUUGAAGUUGUAUAGUCAUUUUGUAAUUUUGUUGCCUUGUUCCACAGGCAGAUAUCAAUAAUCACAAAACUCUAUAGAUGAGUCUAGAGAAAUAGUUCAUCUUGGCAUGAUUGUAUUCUUGUGUGUCUCUGUGGACAUUUCCACAUUUUUAUUCCUCAACAAAAAGACUAUUUUGUAUAUCACAUUGUCAGAGAAUGCUACAUGUCUGUAGAGAUUAUCAGGAUUUGAGAAAUUAUAGUUUUUACAUUGAAACAUUUACAGUAGCAAUUUCAGUAGGCUCAAGUAGUGGCAUUUAUUUUAUACAGGGGGGGGGGCGUUGGAAACCUGAAAACAUUGUUGCUUUGAGGUUCUCUCAUUACACACCAACAAUGUUCCUUAUGGGAAAAAGUGGAUCAUAUGGAUCAGUUAACAAUUUUCUGAUUUUGAAAUGUAACAUUGAAUGUUUAACGGUGUAGCAUGGCAUCCUGUCUUCAAACGUUGUCAUUUUCUUCAUUAAUCAAAUAUUUUAAACUAGUAUACCAAACCAGUAAGGCUCAUAAUUUUCAUUUUGCAUCGCCACAUUGAAACAUUGUGUUUCUUGCUGCAAGAGAAGUCUUGAAAAAUACAGCCAAUGUGAAAAUAAAUAAUUACAAAUCCAGUA